UGCCUGCGGCAAAGAACCGGGAACAAAGAGGCCCAAUUAGCCAAUGGCAGGCGGGCAGCACAGGGCAGCCGCCAAUCACUGCGCGCCGCACGCACCUUCGCAGUCUGAGCGCAGCACAGGCAAGUAAGGUAUCCUACCUGCUCAAAGACCUGGUCCUGCCUGCCACCGGCUGAAGAUGUGAUGGCGCCCUUCCCAUCCUGGCGGUUUACCAUGGCUGUUUGUCCUAGGGAGUACAGAUCCCACUAUAGCUUCUAGGAUUAUUUCCAGGGCAAAGAGAAAAAGUGUAGACACCUUAUGAUAAAUGUAGAGCCUUAUGAUGAAUGUAGAGCCCUAAUUUCACAGUUGAAUGGUGGUGAUGGCCUCUGUCCAAAUGCUUUUCUCCCUGGUCCCAAGGACUGACAAGAAACUUCAUCUCAUUACUUUAAUGUCAGUGACUAUUGUUAUGUUGGUUAGUUAAGGACUCUACAGUUAAAAAAAAAAAUGAGGAAGUCAUAAAUAGUUUCCCAGAGAGGCUUUGUCAUUCCUUUAGCAAUAAAGACAUGCCCUUUGUCGCUGCUAA